rnacentral:rRNA from 1 species
ACUCAAAUGAAUUGACGGGGGCCCGCACAAGCGGUGGAGCAUGUGGUUUAAUUCGACGCAACGCGCAGAACCUUACCCGGGCUAGAAAAACUAGGAAUCCUUAAGAGAUUAGGGAGUGCCCGCAAGGGAACCUAGGUCCAGGUGCUGCAUGGCUGUCGUCAGCUCGUGUCGUGAGAUGUUGGGUUAAGUCCCGCAACGAGCGCAACCCUUGUCCUUAGUUGCCAUCAGUUCGGCUGGGCACUCUAAGGAGACUGCCGGCGUCAAGCCGGAGGAAGGUGGGGAUGACGUCAAGUCCUCAUGGCCCUCAUGUCCGGGGCUACACACGUGCUACAAUGGUCGGUACAAAGCGCUGCGAACUCGCGAGAGGGUGCCAAUCGCAAAAAACCGACCUCAGUACAGAUUGCAGUCUGCAACUCGACUGCAUGAAGGCGGAAUCGCUAGUAAUCGUCGAUCAGCAGGCGACGGUGAAUACGUUCCCGGGCCUUGCACACACCGCCCGU